CUCCAUCCCUCUCCUCAGUCAGCCUCUCCCUCUAUCUCCUCUCUCUCCAUCCUUCUCCUCAGUCAGCCUCUCCCUCUAUCUCCUCUCUCUCCAUCCCUCUCCUCAGUCAGCCUCUCCCUCUAUCUCCUCUCUCUCCAUCCCUCUCCUCAGUCAGCCUCUCCCUCUACCUCCUCUCUCUCCAUCCCUCUCAGUCAGCCAGUGUCCCGGGAGGAAAACAGACAAUUCAGACAAUUUAACCAAUCACCCACGCAAACAAAACACACACACACACACAUACACACAUAUACACACACACGGCCAAAACCGAUUAACAUACACUUGUCGGCAGCUCCGUAAAUUGCGAUGAGGCAGCGAUUUGUAGUGACAAGGGCAGUGUAUCAGGGGUUUGUAUAAGUCUUUGCUGUAUUUAUGUUGUGUGUGUGUGUGUGUGUGUGACAGCGGGAGGGAAUCGGGAGGGAGGGUUAUUAAUGGGUUUGUCCUGUGAAGGUCACGGUGGGGCUGUCUGUCAUCACUGCUCCCUAACAACACCGCCUGUGGACACACACAAACACACACACACACACACUACUCCCCAGUCACACCACCUGCGGCCAGCAGACAGCGCAGAAUGAGGCCAUGGCUGUAAUAUCCCCUGAAUGACACAUCACACAGUACGCUAUCCAACAUCAAUUUAAUAAUGAUCUUCAUCAUCGUCAGCAUUAGCAUUAGCCACCUCAAAUUAUCUGUUUUCUAGUCCUGCAGUCCAGUUGAUAUUCAUUACUGUCUUUGUAGACAGGGUGUCACGACUUCCGCCAAAGUCAGUCCCUCUCCUUGUUAGGGCGGUGUUCGGCGGCCGACGUCACCGAUCUUCGAGCUAUCGCUGAUCCAUUUUUCAUUUUCCAUUGGUUUUGUCUUGUCUUCCAUCACACCUGGUUCCAAUCCCAUCAAUUCCAUGUUGUGUAUUUAACCCUCUGUUUCUCCUCAUGUCCUUGUCGGAGAUUGUUUGAUUGUAUGUGAUGUGCAUGUAUCAUGUUGGUGUGCGACGGGUUUUGUUCCCACUUUUGUUAUUUUGUACAUUUUGGUUUUUGGAGUUUUAUCAGCAUUUAUUAAACAACUCCGUUUUACCAAGUUCGUUCUCCUGCGCCUGGCUUUCCUGCCACCAACACGCACCGAUUACACAGCGUCCUAAUCAAGAGGCAGCAACAAUAGAAAAGGCAACCCAACAUCAAGCAGAAGUUUGUGGCCCUGCUGAAAAGAUUCAAAGUUUCAGAUGAGGUAAGCAUCUCUCUCUCUCUUCCUUUCCAUUUCUCUCUUCUCUCUCGCUCUCUCCUUUCUCUCUGUCUCUCUCUCUCUCUCCUAUCUCUCUCUCUGUGUGUCUCUCUCGCUCUCUCCUAUCUAUCUCUCUCUGUCUGUCUCUCUCUAUCUCUCUCUCUGUCUCUCUCCUAUCUUUCUCUCUCUCUGUGUGUCUCUCUCACUCUCUCCUAUCUAUCUCUCUCUGUCUGUCUGUCUCUCUGUCUCUCUCUCUCUCUCUCCUAUCUCUCUCUCUCUCUGUGUGUCUCUCUCUCGCUCUCUCCUAUCUAUCUCUGUCUGUCUCUCUCUCUC
rnacentral:lncRNA from 13 species